GCGGUACUCUGACCGUGCAAAGGUAGCAUAAUCAUUUGCCUUAUAAUUGAAGGCUUGUAUGAAUGGUUUGACAAGAAUAGAUCUGUCUCUUUAUAAUUAACUAAAAUUUUAUUUAUAGGUGAAGAAGCCUAUAUUAAAUUGAAAGACAAGAAGACCCUAUCGAGCUUUAAAGUAAUUAAUAAAACUAAAAUCAUAUAUAUAUUGAAUUAGUUAUUAAAAAUUUUAGUUGGGGCGACUAAGGAACAAACAAAGCUUCCUUGAAAUUUUAAUACUUGCAGGUUGUGAUCCAAAUGCUUUGAUUAAAGAAAUUAGUUACCGUAGGGAUAACAGCAUUAUCUUUUUUAAGAGCUCAAAUCGAAAAAAAGCUUUGUGACCUCGAUGUUGGACCAGAAUGUCCUAAAGAUGUAGCCGUCUUUAAGGGUUGGUCUGUUCGACCAUUAAAAUUCU
rnacentral:rRNA from 1 species